rnacentral:rRNA from 1 species
UAAGCAUAUCAAUAAGNGGAGGAAAAGAAACCAACAGGGAUUGCCCCCAGUAACGGCGAGUGAAAGCGGCAAGAGCUCAAAUUUGAAAGCUGGCCCCCUCGGGGUCCGCAUUGUAAUUUGCAGAGGAUGCUUCGGGAGCGGUCCCCGUCUAAGUGCCCUGGAACGGGCCGUCAUAGAGGGUGAGAAUCCCGUAUGGGACGGGGUGUCCGCGCCCGUGUGAAGCUCCUUCGACGAGUCGAGUUGUUUGGGAAUGCAGCUCUAAAUGGGUGGUAAAUUUCAUCUAAAGCUAAAUAUUGGCCGGAGACCGAUAGCGCACAAGUAGAGUGAUCGAAAGAUGAAAAGCACUUUGAAAAGAGAGUUAAAAAGCACGUGAAAUUGUUGAAAGGGAAGCGCUUGCGACCAGACUCGCCCGCGGGGUUCAGCCGGCAUUCGUGCCGGUGUACUUCCCCGCGGGCGGGCCAGCGUCGGUUUGGGCGGCCGGUCAAAGGCCCUCGGAAUGUAACGCCUCUCGGGGCGUCUUAUAGCCGAGGGUGCCAUGCGGCCUGCCCGGACCGAGGAACGCGCUUCGGCUCGGACGCUGGCAUAAUGGUCGUAAGCGACCCGUCUUGAAACACGGACCAAGGAGUCUAACAUCUACGCGAGUGUUCGGGUGUCAAACCCGUGCGCGCAGUGAAAGCGAACGGAGGUGGGAACCCUCACGGGUGCACCAUCGACCGAUCCUGAUGUCUUCGGAUGGAUUUGAGUAAGAGCGUAGCUGUUGGGACCCGAAAGAUGGUGAACUAUGCCUGAAUAGGGCGAANCCAGANGGAAACUCUNGUGGAGGCUCGCAGCGGUUCUNACGU